rnacentral:rRNA from 1 species
AACGAACGCUGGCGGCAUGCCUAACACAUGCAAGUCGAACGAGACCUUCGGGUCUAGUGGCGUACGGGUGCGUAACGCGUGGGAACCUGCCCUUAGGUUCGGAAUAACUCCCCGAAAGGGGUGCUAAUACCGGAUAAUGUCUUCGGACCAAAGAUUUAUCGCCUUUGGAUGGGCCCGCGUUGGAUUAGCUAGUUGGUAGGGUAAAAGCCUACAAGGCGACGAUCCAUAGCUGGUCUGAGAGGAUGAUCAGCCACACUGGGACUGAGACACGGCCCAGACUCCUACGGGAGGCAGCAGUGGGGAAUAUUGGACAAUGGGCGAAAGCCUGAUCCAGCAAUGCCGCGUGAGUGAUGAAGGCCUUAGGGUUGUAAAGCUCUUUUACCCGGGAUGAUAAUGACAGUACCGGGAGAAUAAGCUCCGGCUAACUCCGUG